GCCGGCACGACACUGACACGUCCGAGGACCGACCUGUGGAGCGCCGCGGUUUGGUUUUGGUUUGUUUCCUAAGGACCUUACAGAGAAGCUCCCAGGUCAGAAGACAGAGACAUCCGGACGAAGCCUGCAGGUUUUCUUCAUCUGAGAACUGGCAGACUAGGAAAGGUCUUUGAGAAAAAGGGGAUCGGGCAGGCUUGAAGAAAAGAAAUAACCAGCCAGAUGACAGGAAAGUGUUGAAGCCGGUUUUUAUUUGAAUCUCGAUCACCGUCCAUCCCUAACUCCAAGACAUCA
rnacentral:lncRNA from 1 species